AUAAGAUACAUUUUUGUAUCUGACAUUUUACAGUACUGAACCUACACAGAGCUAUUUGCCAUUGCAGUCCCUUAACUGCAGUGAUGUGGUUUCUGUACAGAUAAGAAACGAAGGCACACUGGCAAUGUGAUUGUAGCUCAGUCAUUCUACAGUUUUAAGUAACUGCCCCACCAGCUGGGUGUAGGCUGGUGGGGCAGAAUCAAACUCUGUAUAGUCAGGGAGAUAGGUGUCAA